AGAGUUUGAUCCUGGCUCAGGACGAACGCUGGCGGCGUGCCUAAUACAUGCAAGUAGAACGCUGAAGGAGGAGCUUGCUUUCUUUGCUGACGAGUGGCGGACGGGUGAGUAAUGCUUGGGAAUCUGGCUUAUGGAGGGGGAUAACUACGGGAAACUGUAGCUAAUACCGCGUAAUAUCGAGAGAUUAAAGGGUGGGACCGCAAGGCCACCUGCCAUGAGAUGAGCCCAAGUGGGAUUAGGUAGUUGGUGAGGUAAAGGCUCACCAAGCCGACGAUCUCUAGCUGGUCUGAGAGGAUGACCAGCCACACUGGAACUGAGACACGGUCCAGACUCCUACGGGAGGCAGCAGUGGGGAAUAUUGCACAAUGGGGGGAACCCUGAUGCAGCCAUGCCGCGUGAAUGAAGAAGGCCUUCGGGUUGUAAAGUUCUUUCGGUAGCGAGGAAGGCACUUAGUUUAAUAAACUAGGUGAUUGACGUUAACUACAGAAGAAGCACCGGCUAACUCCGUGCCAGCAGCCGCGGU
rnacentral:rRNA from 1 species